AUUGAACGCUGGCGGCAUGCCUUACACAUGCAAGUCGAACGGCAGCACGGGUGCUUGCACCUGGUGGCGAGUGGCGAACGGGUGAGUAGUAUAUCGGAACGUACCUUAUUGUGGGGGAUAACGCAGCGAAAGCUGUGCUAAUACCGCAUAAUCCCUAAGGGGGAAAGCGGGGGACCGUAAGGCCUCGCGCAAUUAGAGCGGCCGAUACCUGAUUAGCUAGUUGGUGAGGUAAAGGCUCACCAAGGCAACGAUCAGUAGCUGGUCUGAGAGGACGAUCGGCCACACUGGGACUGAGACACGGCCCGGACUCCUACGGGGGGCAGCAGUGUGGAAUUUUGGACAAUGGGGGCAACCCUGAUCCAGCAAUGCCGCGUGAGUGAAGAAGGCCUUCGGGUUGUAAAGCUCUUUUGUCAGGGAAGAAACAGCAGCUCUAACACAGUUUGCGAAUGACGGUACCUGAAGAAUAAGCACCGGCUAACUACGUGCCAGCCGCCGCAGUAA
rnacentral:rRNA from 1 species